GGUUGAUCCUGCCAGUAGUCAUAUGCUUGUCUCAAAGAUUAAGCCAUGCAUGUGUAAGUAUAAGUAUUGUACAGCGAAACUGCGAAUGGCUCAUUAAAACAGUUAUAGUUUAUUUGAUACUUGAAAGUUACAUGGAUAACCGUGGCAAUUCUACAGCUAAUACAUGCUUCAAAACCCGACUCUUCGGAAGGGUUGUAUUUAUUAGAUAUUAAGCCAUCCCUUCGGGGCUGUGAUGAAUCAUAAUAACUGAUCGAAUCGAGGCUUGCCUUGAUAAAUCAUUCAAGUUUCUGCC
rnacentral:rRNA from 1 species